rnacentral:rRNA from 1 species
GCGUAAAGAGCUCGUAGGUGGUUCGAUACGUCGGAUGUGAAAAUCAGGGGCUCAACCCCUGACCUGCAUCCGAUACGGUCGAGCUGGAGUUUGGUAGGGGAGACUGGAAUUCCUGGUGUAGCGGUGGAAUGCGCAGAUAUCAGGAGGAACACCGAUGGCGAAGGCAGGUCUCUGGGCCAAUACUGACACUGAGGAGCGAAAGCGUGGGGAGCGAACAGGAUUAGAUACCCUGGUAGUCCACGCCGUAAACGGUGGGCGCUAGUUGUGCGAACCUUCCACGGUUUGUGCGACGCAGCUAACGCAUUAAGCGCCCCGCCUGGGGAGUACGAUCGCAAGAUUAAAACUCAAAGGAAUUGACGGGGCCCCGCACAAGCAGCGGAGCAUGCGGCUUAAUUCGACGCAACGCGAAGAACCUUACCAAGGCUUGACAUAUACAGGAAUAUGGCAGAGAUGUCAUAGCCGCAAGGUCUGUAUACAGGUGGUGCAUGGUUGUCGUCAGCUCGUGUCGUGAGAUGUUGGGUUAAGUCCCGCAACGAGCGCAACCCUCGUUCUGUGUUGCCAGCAUUAAGUUGGGGACUCACAGGAGACUGCCGGGGUUAACUCGGAGGAAGGUGGGGAUGACGUCAAAUCAUCAUGCCCCCUUAUGUCUUUGGGCUGCACGCAUGCUACAAUGGCUGGUACAAACGGCUGCGAUACCGC